GCAUGUGACUCAGUCGGUAGAGCAUGAGACUCCUAAUCUCGGUGUUGUGGGUUUGCGCCCCACGUUGGGCA